rnacentral:rRNA from 1 species
GAUGAACGCUGGCGGCGUGCCUAAUACAUGCAAGUCGAGCGAACAGAUGAGGAUCUUGCUCCUCUGACGUUAGCGGCGGACGGGUGAGUAACAUGUGGAUAACCUACCUAUAAGACUGGGAUAACUUCGGGAAACCGGAGCUAAUACCGUAUAAUCUAUUGAACCGCAUGGUUCAAUAGUGAAAGACGGUUUUGCUGUCACUUAUAGAUGGAUCCGCGCCGCAUUAGCUAGUUGGUAAGGUAACGGCUUACCAAGGCAACGAUGCGUAGCCGACCUGAGAGGGGGAUAGGCGACAUGGGAACGGAGACACGGUCAAGACGACUAAGGGAGGCAGCAGUAGGGAAUCUGACGCAAUGGGCGAAAGCAUGACGGAGCAACGCCGCGUGAGUGAUGAAGGUGUUCGGAGCGGAAAACUCUGUUAUGAGGGAAGAACAAAUGUGUAAGUAACUAUGCACGGCUUGACGGUACCUAAUCAGAAAGCCACGGCUAACUACGUG